AAUCGAAAAGGAAAUAAACUCUAAUGUCUGGAAAAAAAAAUUCAGCUUCUCCGAUAUGACAAUAGUCGGAGAAUCCUCCCAAAGUGACGAUUAGUCCUUCCAAAUACUCACCUCCUCUUGAUAUGAGCUAUAUUCGAUAUCGAUCCAGGUAUGGGUUGCAAUCACUUCCACAUCAACAAAUCUCACUGAUGUAAUGAUUCAAAUACCUUUGAAGACUUCUUCUACCUAAAUUUUAUCGAUCUGAGCUAGAUCUCAAGUUGUGCACAAGAAUUUUGGGGACGCGCUUCAGUCGCCAUCCAGAUUUGAAGACAAGAUCUAUUGAGAUAAGUUUUACCUUUAUAAUUUAAUUACUCAUCUUUGAGAUAUGCUUUGAUACCUAGUCCUUGAUUAUUCUCCUCAACAGGUUGAACCCCACCGGGAUUAAUACCACUGUUUAAGUCGACUGAUCUCCGACCUUGCAUCGCUCAACCUUUUCCAGGAGACUAAGUUGCUCCACCUUAUGAGACACCAAAGCAUGCAGAGCUUCCAUUGGUGAUGAUUUGCUAGUAUUGAAAUUUGUAAUACUUGCAUUUGUGCACUCUUGCACCUCCUGGUUCUGCUGGAAUUGGAUCUACACCUCACCUUCCACCACCAUCUGCAAAGGUUCCUGGUGCAUCAUCACAGGCAGUCCCUACUCCAGCAACAGCCUUCACAGCUACAUCAUAUAUUACUACUGCUCCUCCAUCUAUUUGUUGUACAACAUUCUGCACUAGUGUUCCAGCCUCUUCUACCCUUUGCCCUGUAUACUCUUUCACUUUUAUGUACAUGCUAUUAUUAUUGUUGUUGGUUUGUUUCUCUUGUUGUGCAAAUACCUCUGUGACCCAUUCCUUAGUUGAUACAUGCUAAUGAAAGUUGUCGUCUAUAUGCGUAUGAUUGUUUUUGUCUA